GCCCCGGUAAACGGCGGCCGUAACUAUAACGGUCCUAAGGUAGCGAAAUUCCUUGUCGGGUAAGUUCCGACCUGCACGAAUGGCGUAAUGAUGGCCAGGCUGUCUCCACCCGAGACUCAGUGAAAUUGAACUCGCUGUGAAGAUGCAGUGUACCCGCGGCAAGACGGAAAGACCCCGUGAACCUUUACUAUAGCUUGACACUGAACAUUGAGCCUUGAUGUGUAGGAUAGGUGGGAGGCUUUGAAGUGUGGACGCCAGUCUGCAUGGAGCCGACCUUGAAAUACCACCCUUUAAUGUUUGAUGUUCUAACGUUGGCCCGUAAUCCGGGUUGCGGACAGUGUCUGGUGGGUAGUUUGACUGGGGCGGUCUCCUCCUAAAGAGUAACGGAGGAGCACGAAGGUUGGCUAAUCCUGGUCGGACAUCAGGAGGUUAGUGCAAUGGCAUAAGCCAGCUUGACUGCGAGCGUGACGGCGCGAGCAGGUGCGAAAGCAGGUCAUAGUGAUCCGGUGGUUCUGAAUGGAAGGGCCAUCGCUCAACGGAUAAAAGGUACUCCGGGGAUAACAGGCUGAUACCGCCCAAGAGUUCAUAUCGACGGCGGUGUUUGGCACCUCGAUGUCGGCUCAUCACAUCCUGGGGCUGAAGUAGGUCCCAAGGGUAUGGCUGUUCGCCAUUUAAAGUGGUACGCGAGCUGGGUUUAGAACGUCGUGAGACAGUUCGGUCCCUAUCUGCCGUGGGCGCUGGAGAACUGAGGGGGGCUGCUCCUAGUACGAGAGGACCGGAGUGGACGCAUCACUGGUGUUCGGGUUGUCAUGCCAAUGGCACUGCCCGGUAGCUAAAUGCGGAAGAGAUAAGUGCUGAAAGCAUCUAAGCACGAAACUUGCCCCGAGAUGAGUUCUCCCUGACUCCUUGAGAGUCCUGAAGGAACGUUGAAGACGACGACGUUGAU
rnacentral:rRNA from 1 species